GUCUACGGCCAUACCACCCUGAACGCGCCCGAUCUCGUCUGAUCUCAGAAGCUAAGCAGGGUCGGGCCUGGUUAGUACUUGGAUGGGAGAACGCCUGGGAAUACCGGGUGCUGUGGGCU
rnacentral:rRNA from 1 species